UGAAAACUCAGCUUCCAGGAGGUGAAAUAGCUUUCCCAAGAUAAAACAGGGAAGGAGUUUCUAGAGGUAGGGAUAUCUGAGAAGAUCUGAAGAGUCACUGGAGUGAAAAAUGAAGGGCUGGAACACAAGAACCAUGAGGAAAGGAAACGUAUUGUUUCUAGAGCCUCCAGAGGACUAAGAGCUGUGCCCAGGAUGACGCCCC